CACACCCCCUACUGGGGAUGUGCCCACAACCAAGGUUAUACAAUCACGUUUCAUGGAGCAGAGUGGAGAGUUAAUUGACUAUGUUUUUCUGUCAAGAAGAUACAUGUUAAGGCUGCUGUGGGGUUGAAGGGAGAAAGAAAUGGCUGUGCCACGACUUCCCUUCUUCCUCUCAUUAAAAGCUCUGCAGUCAAAGCACUCAGUUAAUAUUCUCACGCACAGGCACGUGGAAACCAACCCUUCCCAUCUGCUUAUGCAAAGAGCCAUCGUGCUGUGAGAUAGAAAUUAUGCCCCUCUGGAGCAACAACGGGGAGAAAACUGAAGCAUGCUAGAAUCAGAGAAAACAGUUCUCUGAGGCACGAAGAACUCCUUCCCCCAGCACUUGGCUCCUACUUCUGCUUUAUGGCUCUUGUAAUUGUGUCUAUGUGAAUCCAUGUUGCACCGACACAAGUUCUUAAUUAUAGUUAUCAAUCAAUA